ACUAAUCCUAGCCCACAACCCUCAUAAUACAACUACAAUUUUUAAAUUAAUUAAAACAUUCACCAUAAUAAAAGUAUAGGAGAUAGAAAUUAUUGUUAGUGAGCAAUAGAGAUAGUACCGUAAGGGAAAGAUGAAAGAAUAAUUUAUAGUAUAAUAAAGCAAAGAUUAGCCCUUCUACCUUUUGCAUAAUGAAUUAACUAGAAUCAACUUUGCAAAAAGAAUUUUAGUAAAGCACCCCGAAACCAGGCGAGCUACUUAUGAGCAAUCAAUUAGAAUCAACCCGUCUAUGUAGCAAAAUAGUGGGAAGACUUGUAAGUAGAAGUGAAAGACCUAACGAGCGUGGUGAUAGCUGGUUGUCCAAAACAGAAUUUUAGUUCAACAUUAAGUUUACCUAAAGCAUCAAUAAUCUUACUGUAAACUUAAUAGUUAUUCUAAAGAGGGACAGCUCUUUAGACAAAGGAAAUAACCUUUUUUAGUGAGUAAACUCUUAAAUUACCAUAGUUGGCCUAAAAGCAGCCAUCAAUUAAAAAAGCGUUCAAGCUUAACUCUACAACAAAACCUAAUUCCUCCAUUCAUCAUAAACUCCUAAAAAUAUUAUUGGACCAAUCUAUAUAACUAUAGAAGUAAUAAUGUUAAUAUGAGUAACAAGAAUAACAUUCUCCCUGCAUAGGUUUAUAUCAGACCGAAUAAUUCGCUGAUAGUUAACAUUUAUAUAAUAAUAUACACAAAUACAAACUUUAUAACCAACCAAUGUUAAUCCAACACCGGAAUGCAUUAAGGAAAGAUAAAAAAGAGUAAAAGGAACUCGGCAAACACUAACCCCGCCUGUUUACCAAAAACAUCACCUCUGGCAUUACUAGUAUCAGAGGCACUGCCUGCCCAGUGACAUAUGUUCAACGGCCGCGGUAUCCUGACCGUGCAAAGGUAGCAUAAUCAUUUGUUCCUUAAUUAGGGACUUGUAUGAAUGGCUUAACGAGGGUUUAACUGUCUCUUACUCUCAAUCAGUGAAAUUGACCUUUCCGUGAAGAGGCGGAAAUAACCUAAUAAGACGAGAAGACCCUAUGGAGCUUUUAAUUUAUUAAUCUUAGUUAACUUACUUCAAUCCCCCGGGAGAUAAAAACAUACUAACAGAUUAUAAAUUUUGGUUGGGGUGACCUCGGAGAAUAAAGCAACCUCCGAAUGAUCUUAAUCUAGACUAAACCAGUCUAAAUCUUAAUUCAUCAAUUGACCCAAAACUAUUGAUCAACGGAACAAGUUACCCUAGGGAUAACAGCGCAAUCCUACUCAAGAGUCCAUAUCGACAGUAGGGUUUACGACCUCGAUGUUGGAUCAGGACAUCCAAAUGGUGUAACCGCUAUUAAUGGUUCGUUUGUUCAACGAUUAAAGUCCUACGUGAUCUGAGUUCAGACCGGAGAAAUCCAGGUCGGUUUCUAUCUAUUAAAAUACUUCUCCCAGUACGAAAGGACAAGAGAAGUAAGGCCAAUUUUAAUAUAUGCCUUAAAGAAAAAAAAAUGAAAUAAUCUUAAUUUUAUACACUAUUAUUUAUCAACCCAAGAACAGGGUUC
rnacentral:rRNA from 1 species